rnacentral:tmRNA from 1 species
GAUCGCCUGACCUCAAUCCGGUCACCAGGAGUGAGAGAUGGCUAAAUUUAAAUAGGUGACUGCGCUCGGAGAAACUGAUGGCAAAGGGCUUUUGGACAGGGGUUCGACUCCCCUCGCCUCCACCA